UACGGGGGGAGCAAGCGUUGUUCGGAUUUACUGGGCGUAAAGGGCGCGUAGGCGGCACCGCAAGUCGACUGUGAAAUCUCUGGGCUUAACUCAGAAACUGCCGUUGAUACUAUUUGUCUUGAAUAUCUUGGAGGUAAGCGGAAUAUGUCAUGUAGCGGUGAAAUGCUUAGAUAUGACAUAGAACACCGAUAGCGAAGGCAGCUUACUACAGGAAGAUUGACGCUGAGGCACGAAAGCGUGGGGAGCAAACAGG
rnacentral:rRNA from 1 species